AGAGCGAGGAGAAUGUGUCACCGCGCUGGGAAAGUUCAAGGUUACAGCCCCAAGCACUGCGGCAGGAUCCCGGAGUGGCGAUCGCAGGCGAAACUUUGCCGCGAGCCGACCAUGUCGCCUCCAAAAGUUUCUCAGGAGCUUAGAAAAGAAGAAUGAAAGACAACUCUUAACACAAAAGAGCCCACAAAAGCUACAGCAGCGCCAGGGGUGAUGAAGCAGCAACAGACCCAGCUCUUGCAUGUGACUAGAGGGGUGGCUCAACAAUUCCACACACCCUGGCUGCAUGGCCAAUAUCAAUAUUUUAAAACUAAAUACAAAAGAGACAGAUGACCUCCUGACCCCAGGAAACAGGCCUGCAAGACUGCAAGUAUCCACUACACCAUGCCCAGGGACCUUUUCUUCUUCCAAAUGAACCACAAAAAUCAUACAUGUGUAGCCUGGAAAACACGAUUUUAUAUCCACAAGCAAGAACAUCAAAAACCCACUCAACAACACAUGUAUAAACAACCAACAAGUACUGAAAUUGCCUGUACUUGAUGGGAAUUGCAAAAUCAUGCCCAGCUCUAUCAGCCCUUAAAGUACCACUGUCAAAUUAGGGUAGCAAUUUUUCCCUACUACAAAAUCCACAACCGGUUAGCUUCCCCACCCCCUAUUGCCAGCGCUUUGCCUUUCACUGAAAUGAAUAAAUAACUGUGGACUUUUUUCCCAUCCUCGGGGAGCUGUUCGGUGUCCCCUGAGGACAAAACUAAAUGAGAAAAAUGACGCUGUUAAUAAUGUCACUGCUGAAAUGCCUGUACUCGACUGUUUUAAAAAAAAUACUGUCCCGCCAAGUGUGCCUACGUUUCAGCACAUUUUCAAACCACCACUGAAUCUGUAUGUAGACUGGCCAGCAUUAAGUUUAGCUGGUUUUCACUUCUGUACAGAAAUGAGGCUAGUUCAUCAAUGGAGAUUCCGAACUUCUGAAGACAUUGCUUUCUGGGAUUACAAAGUCAGCAGUUGCCCUGUAAUUUUUGUAUGAUUUAUUUUAAACUUUGAAAAUCACAGUAAUAAUUGUCUUGGUUCACUCAAAAUACUUCAAAACUUACAGGCACCUUCACACACAGACUUCUUUGCUGAGCCUGUGAGAGUUGUAGCUAUUGUCCUUUUUCAAAAUAGCUGACACUUACAGUAAAACUAUACCAUCAUUUUAUUUCUACAUUAAGUUGGUUUUUGUUUCCUAUCUACAUGCGCCUUUGUGACAUGAAAAAAAAUUGACUUUAAUGAGCUGUUUAGAAAGCUUUUAUGCAAAAUGGCUAAGUUGUCUUUAUAUUGUUCAUUAAGAAAUGUAGAAAGUGCACUGCAAACUAACGUAAACUUUCUGCAUCCCUUUCUGUAAUUCUUUUCUUGAAAACUGCCUUUCUGUUUCAAAACCAAAACAAUCAUAAUAACAAGACUGUUCAUUUUAACUUUCAAAAUAAAAUUUAGCCAACAAUUGCAUAAUUACAAUGAUAGAAAACAAACCGCUGGGCCUAUACAAAAUACAUAUUAAUAUUUUAAGUAAACUUUGUCUCGGAAAUACAUCUGAAAAAAUUUUACAACACACAGUAAGUUAAUAACUUCCAAAGCAAUAAUAUUGUCAAAUUGUGUGAUGUCACAAGCUCCAAAAGCAAAGUUACAGAUGUUCAUGACAUCACAUUCACUCAUAAUUAUGUUGCUGCUGUCUGACCAUCUUAAACGGAUGACUCUGUCUACUAAAGAAUAAAAAGAAUUUAUUUUGGACAUCAAACAAUGAAACUGUCACCAUUUAUUGUAUGAAACACUCAGCUAAUCAAUUUCCUAUUAAAACAGCUUUCAACAAUACUCAGCUUUAAAAUUCAUCAGGGCCAGUAAAAACCUUUUCCCAGUGCACAAGAAUGCAGUCCCAACCACGUACAAUAAUUGCCCUUCUAAUACUUUUAUUGCCCAAGCGCUUUUUCUUGUGCUCCCCAUCAGUGAGGCAGGAAUCUGCAGUAUAUUGUAUCAGUGAAUUGGAGUGCUUGACCUUUGCCCACAUAUGAUUUAAUAGGGACUUUUCAGCACUGGCGCUUUCUCCAUCUCUCAUACCAUUAAAUGAAAACAUCAAACCUCAAAUGUAAAACUGGAAACCACAACGUUUUGUGUUUCACAACUCUUUGCAGUUUUUACUUAGAUUGCUUAAAGGUCAGCUUCUUCGCCUCACCGUGCUCUGCCCCAUAGAGUAAAUGUACUCAAAAGUCACACUCAUUCUGAUUUUGAUUAAAUCUUGAACUCCCCAGAUACACACAUGCACCCUGCUUAUUUACAUGUGCAUUCUUUCCUAACCACAUAAGCAUGCGUGUAUGACUUUCUGGAUUUAUUCCAUUUUAGGGCUGAUUUAAAUGUCUGUUCAAGUAUGGGUUCACAAGUUAACUUUUUCCCACCCGAUGGAAAGUUAAAAUUACAAAGGAUGGUGUUAUAGGAUCCUGUCAAAGAAAGUUAGAGUUAAUCUUGUGUAUUUUGGCGCCUUUUCCCUGCCAGCUACUGUACUGGGGGUGGGGGGGAAGGUGGGGGUUGGAGAUCUUGUCUGUCCUGUCUCAAGUUCAAUGGCAGUUCUUCUAACCAGAGGAGAAGAUGGCCAUGUUCACAGCACUAAUAAUAAUUCCAAUCACGCCACUUCGGCAUCUUGUGUCAAAGUCGAAACGGGCUUCCCCGCCCCCUCUUCAACCUGAAAGCUGCCAAGUCCUCACACACUCCGCAUUCAACCACAACUUAAUGGAUGGGAUAUCGUGCAUUAAAAUAUGUCCCAGACAUACUGGCAAAGAGAAGACAAGGGAAGAGGGAGACAGACACAUACAUGCACACGCACACACACUUUGUUAGGCAGAGGGGAAAAAAAUACUAGAGUAAAAACAGCAGGGCAGAAAAAAAAAAUAACAGGAGCGGGAAGAAAUACAUCAUAAUCUUUUUCUUUUUUUUAAAGUAGAGGGAAGAGUGGGAGAGGGCUAACAAUUCUAUCCUGCCACUUUAGGAACAAGCGGGUGGGGGUAACUACACUUUGGAAUGAAGAAUGAUUUUAAAAACGCCAAUACACCAAUCAGAGCUAAAUAAAUACACUUUUAAGUGAAAAUAUGUAACAAAUCUGUGCAGGGAAGGAAAAAAAUGCUCCGAAAAGAAUGGACUACAAGAUACAACUAAAGUAUCAUUUGUACAGUAAUUUUUUCCAUCAUGGGGAAGGGGUUAAGGGAGAUGAAGCAGUAAAAAUGCUACAUUUCACACUGUUUUGGACUUACAAUGUUAUCCACGGAUCCCCAUCAUAGAAGUGUGGCAUGCACACUAAAGUUGACAAAGAUUUUUUAUUUUUUUUAAAGCAUCAGGGCUGAAAAUCCAACAUAUGGCUCAACCUGUAAAGCAGAAAUGACAUUUAGGUUCUCUUUACAAUGUACAAAGAGGAAAAAAAUCUGUGUAUGGCAAUAGAAGGGGAUGCAAGAGACAAGCAAAUAAAAUCCUUCAUUUCAAAGCUAUAUACCACUGCUUAUUGCAAUAAAGAGAUGUUGAGUUUAUAACAGAACCCUGGCCCGCUGACUUCACGUAUCUCAGGUACAGAUUUGUGGAUUUUUGAGUUGUUUUAGUGUCGCUUUUGUAUUUUUUUUAAGAGCGCAAUCCAGGAGUAGGCUCUUACUUUUGUUUUUAAUGAUAAUUUCUGCAAUGCCACAAUUCCUGGCCCGAAGAAGAAAAGGCGGUAAAUGUCAAGUCUAAAAACAUGCAACCCCUCAGCCUGUCUGGAUUUCCAGUUUGCUUCCUCUCACUUGGAGAAGACGUGAGCUUGACUUGAAAGCCGUCCAGAGUGCCGGGUGUGUGUUUGUGUGUGUGUACGUGCGUGCGCGAGUGUGCUUGGUGGGUUUUAUUGUUGUUUUAGCAGGGCUGCCCCGGGGGUAAGAGCUGCCUCCCCGCCCGGGCUCGGAGCGCGCUAAGGCUGAGACACCCGGCGCGGCCGGGAGGUCGCGCGCUGUCCUCUUCCUCGCCCUGGAAUCCUCAGGGCCGGCGGAGGCGCUACCCCGGAACCGCCGGCCAUCCGCGCAACCUUUCCGCGCCCGGCCCGGCCCGCGCUCUGCGGCCGCCGCCUCCCCGGCUUUCUCUUUCUCCGAACCAGCCGCCCGGCCCCGCCCCACCCAGGCCGGCUCGGCGCGCGGGAAGCGUGGCUCUUCGCUUCCGCCUGGCGGCGGGAAGGAAACCGAAAGGAGGAGCCGGGGGCGGGCGCGCGGUGAUGCAUAUUCAUUAGGGCGCCCGCGGCAGCGGAGGCGGGAGCGGGCCCGAGUGGGUGUGGCGGGCUGCGCUGCGCGGGGCCCCUCACGAGUGGCGGCUCGGCUCUUUGUGCCGCCGGGCGGGGCCGGAGCGCAGCGAGGGCGGGCGAGGAGGGCGGUGCCGCUAGUCUGCGGGGCUGCCAGGCUCCGCGCGCCUUUGUGCUCCCGCGCUCUGGGGCCUCCCCGCUGGCGUGCGCGAGAGCCGAGCGCGGCCGAGCCGCCGCGGGAGACGCGUCACCAAAUAAUAAUGAGACGGGAUUGGUGCUCUUCCCUACUUGACGCCGGGUUGCUGGGUCCCGUUUGCCAGGCCACAUUUGUUUCGUUGUAAAAGGAAUUCUGAAAUGUUCCUCGCUGCGUAGCCUUAUCAUUAAAGCAAAACAACCAGAACACUACUUUUUAUAGGCAUGCAGGUAAAUAUCAAUAAUUCAGGGGUAGGUUGAAGAAAUAAUUUGGAGAAGGGAAGGGCUGCCCACUCCAGUAUUCUGGCCUAGGGAAUUCCAUGGACUGUGUAGUUCAUGGGGUCGCAGAGUCGGACACGACUGAGCGACUUUCACACUGUUCAUUGAAGAAAGAAAUCAACCCCAAAGAAAUAUGCAACCCAAAAGUAAACACUCUAGGUGAGAUGUGCUGGCGUGUUCAUGUUCAUAAAGCUGUUUUGAUGAGUGUUUUUCAAACUUUAUGUAAUUGUUGCUUAAUUUUCAAGUAAUCCAGUUAUUUUGCAUUUUAAGCAUCUGUAGUGUGGUAUAACAAUGUUUAACUGUUAAAUCAAGUUGUUCUAUAAUUCUGAUCUAAAACUGAAGUAUUGAAAGUAAAAACAUAACACCCGCCCUAAAUUUACUUAAUACUAACCCACCUGUGUUGAGAAGGAUUUUAUUACAGAGAUCCUGACUAAUUAUGUAAACACAACAGACA